rnacentral:lncRNA from 1 species
AUCGAGCGGCGCGGGGACGGAGGCCGAGGAGGUCCGGCAACUGCUGCGGGUAGCGUCGAACUUCGGUAGUGCUGCUGGACGUCGGUGCUGACUGGGGGGAGAUACGGCACGAGCAGCAGAGGAGGCGCGGGCCGGUGCGGGUGCAGCGGUCGGUGGUUGCAACAGCGUUGUCGUGGUGUGGGCGCGGCGUCGGAACAGACGCGUCGCGGGUGGAGGCGCUGCAGGGGAGACGGCAGAGGCGAACGGCGGGAGUCGUCGGGGCUCGUGCGGAGGAAGAUCCAGGCGUCGGACGGGACUGGCUUCAAGCCCCAGGCGGCGUCGCGUCGUCGCAGCGAGCUGGUUCGUCAGGGAGCGGAGCAAGGGCAAGGCUCGGCGCGGCACGGUGGGCUUGGGUGGAGGAG